rnacentral:rRNA from 1 species
GAUGAACGCUAGCUAUAGGCUUAACACAUGCAAGUCGAGGGGAAACGGCAUUAUGUGCUUGCACAUUUUGGACGUCGACCGGCGCACGGGUGAGUAUCGCGUAUCCAACCUGCCCUUUACUUGGGGAUACCCCGUUGAAAGACGGCCUAAUACCCGAUGUAAUUCAUUGAUGGCAUCAGAUAUGAAUAAAAGAUUUAUCGGUAAAGGAUGGGGAUGCGUCUGAUUAGCUUGUUGGUGAGGUAACGGCUCACCAAGGCGACGAUCAGUAGGGGUUCUGAGAGGAAGGUCCCCCACAUUGGAACUGAGACACGGUCCAAACUCCUACGGGAGGCAGCAGUGAGGAAUAUUGGGCAAUGGGCGCAAGCCUGAACCAGCCAAGUAGCGUGCAGGAAGACGGCCCUAUGGGUUGUAAACUGCUUUUAUACGAGAAUAAUUUGAUGCACGUGUGCGUUAUUGCAUGUAUCGUAUGAAUAAGGACCGGCUAAUUCCGUG